rnacentral:rRNA from 1 species
GAUGAACGCUGGCGGCGUGCUUAACACAUGCAAGUCGAACGGAAAGGCUCCUGCUUGCAGGGGUACUCGAGUGGCGAACGGGUGAGUAACACGUGGGUGAUCUGCCCUGCACUUCGGGAUAAGCCUGGGAAACUGGGUCUAAUACCGGAUAGGACGAUGGCUUGGAUGCCAUUGUGGAAAGCUUUUCGGUGUGGGAUGAGCUCGCGGCCUAUCAGCUUGUUGGUGGGGUAAUGGCCUACCAAGGCGUCGACGGGUAGCCGGCCUGAGAGGGUGUACGGCCACAUUGGGACUGAGAUACGGCCCAGACUCCUACGGGAGGCAGCAGUGGGGAAUAUUGCACAAUGGGCGCAAGCCUGAUGCAGCGACGCCGCGUGGGGGAUGACGGCCUUCGGGUUGUAAACUCCUUUCGCUAGGGACGAAGCGCAAGUGACGGUACCUGGAGAAGAAGCACCGGCUAACUACGUG